rnacentral:rRNA from 1 species
GACGAACGCUGGCGGCGUGCUUAACACAUGCAAGUCGAACGGAAAGGCCUUGCUUUUGUGGGGUGCUCGAGUGGCGAACGGGUGAGUAACUCGUGAGUAACCUGCCCUUGACUUUGGGAUAACUUCAGGAAACUGGGGCUAAUACCGGAUAGGAGCUCCUGCUGCAUGGUGGGGGUUGGAAAGUUUCGGCGGUUGGGGAUGGACUCGCGGCUUAUCAGCUUGUUGGUGGGGUAGUGGCUUACCAAGGCUUUGACGGGUAGCCGGCCUGAGAGGGUGACCGGCCACAUUGGGACUGAGAUACGGCCCAGACUCCUACGGGAGGCAGCAGUGGGGAAUAUUGCACAAUGGGCGGAAGCCUGAUGCAGCAACGCCGCGUGCGGGAUGACGGCCUUCGGGUUGUAAACCGCUUUCGCCUGUGACGAAGCGUGAGUGACGGUAAUGGGUAAAGAAGCACCGGCUAACUACGUG